UACGAAGGGGGCUAGCGUUGCUCGGAAUCACUGGGCGUAAAGGGUGCGUAGGCGGGUCUUUAAGUCAGGGGUGAAAUCCUGGAGCUCAACUCCAGAACUGCCUUUGAUACUGAGGAUCUUGAGUUCGGGGAGAGGUGAGUGGAACUGCGAGUGUAGAGGUGAAAUUCGUAGAUAUUCGCAAGAACACCAGUGGCGAAGGCGGCUCACUGGCCCGAUACUGACGCUGAGGCACGAAAGCGUGGGGAGCAACAGG
rnacentral:rRNA from 1 species